AUAACAAAAAUAGUUGCGAAACAUCAAAAUCAUUAUCGCUUUUGGGGCGGUUCCUCAAAAUAGGUAUAUCAAAUAGCCCGCAGAAUAGAACCGUCUCCAAAUAGUCUCAUCAUCAAUGAAUCAAUCUAGGCGAAAUGGCCCCCAUUUAAUGUCUAUUUCCAGAAUCAGCGUAACUGAACAAUUCCAUAUGAUGACUUGAACUGUUCAACAAAGGAUGCCAAUGUUAUUUAAACACAUUAAUAAACAAAUAUGUUUUGACAUUUGCACUGCGUACUUUCGAGAGUUUUUAAGUGUUGGCUGUUUCGUAACUAAGCCCUAAAGGCUGGCGAAGCCUCGCGCAUUGAUUUACCAAUUCCUUGUUGCCCCCUUAACGUUUUUGAUGACUUGCCUAUGUGUCAUACAAAUACAUAACAUUGUCCAAUUAAGCCAUUUUCUUUUCUUCGUUCUAGACUCACCUUUGAACAAGUAGUCGUACUCAUCAUCCUUUGUACUCAUCCUGAUGCUGUUUAAUAGUCUUUGGGGGCACUUACAAGAUAAUCAAAAUUGUAUUUACAAACUAUUG